GGUUAAGCGACUAAGCGUACACGGUGGAUGCCCUGGCAGUCAGAGGCGAUGAAGGACGUGCUAAUCUGCGAUAAGCGCCGGUAAGGUGAUAUGAACCGUUAUAACCGGCGAUUUCCGAAUGGGGAAACCCAGUGUGACUCGUCACACUAUCAUUAACUGAAUCCAUAGGUUAAUGAGGCGAACCGGGGGAACUGAAACAUCUAAGUACCCCGAGGAAAAGAAAUCAACCGAGAUUCCCCCAGUAGCGGCGAGCGAACGGGGAGGAGCCCAGAGCCUGAAUCAGCAUGUGUGUUAGUGGAAGCGUCUGGAAAGGCGCGCGAUACAGGGUGACAGCCCCGUACACAAAAGCGCAURUGCUGUGAGCUCGAUGAGUAGGGCGGGACACGUGGUAUCCUGUCUGAAUAUGGGGGGACCAUCCUCCAAGGCUAAAUACUCCUGACUGACCGAUAGUGAACCAGUACCGUGAGGGAAAGGCGAAAAGAACCCCGGCGAGGGGAGUGAAAAAGAACCUGAAACCGUGUACGUACAAGCAGUGGGAGCACAGGUUUACCUGUGUGACUGCGUACCUUUUGUAUAAUGGGUCAGCGACUUAUAUUCUGUAGCAAGGUUAACCGAAUAGGGGAGCCGGAGGGAAACCGAGUCUUAAUUGGGCGUUAAGUUGCAGGGUAUAGACCCGAAACCCGGUGAUCUAGCCAUGGGCAGGUUGAAGGUUGGGUAACACUAACUGGAGGACCGAACCGACUAAUGUUGAAAAAUUAGCGGAUGACCUGUGGCUGGGGGUGAAAGGCCAAUCAAACCGGGAG
rnacentral:rRNA from 1 species